UACGGAGGGAGCUAGCGUUGUUCGGAAUUACUGGGCGUAAAGCGCACGUAGGCGGCUUUGUAAGUUAGAGGUGAAAGCCCGGGGCUCAACUCCGGAACUGCCUUUAAGACUGCAUCGCUUGAAUCCAGGAGAGGUGAGUGGAAUUCCGAGUGUAGAGGUGAAAUUCGUAGAUAUUCGGAAGAACACCAGUGGCGAAGGCGGCUCACUGGACCGGUACUGACGCUGAUGCGCGAAAGCGUGGGGAGCAAACAGG
rnacentral:rRNA from 1 species